UUGUCAGCCGCCGCGGUAAUACGUAGGUGGCAAGCGAUACUCGGAAUCACUAGGCGUAAAGCGCAGGUAGGAGGUUUGGUAAGUCUAUUGUGAAAGCUCCCGGCUUAACUGGGAGAGGUCAAUGGAAACUACCAGGCUAGAGUGCGGUAGAGGUAGCUGGAAUUCCCGGUGUAGCGGUGAAAUGCGUAGAUAUCGGGAGGAAUACCUAUGGCGAAAGCAGGCUACUGGACCGUCACUGACUCUGAUCUGCGAAAGCUAGGGGAGCAAACAGGAUUAGAAACCCCCGUAGUCC
rnacentral:rRNA from 1 species